rnacentral:pre_miRNA from 1 species
UCUUAUGGAUGAGAAAGAAAGUGGUUUCUUGAAAUAAAAUCUUCUCCUGGUAAAGAUACUGUGAA